GCGGACGGGUGAGUAACGCGUAUGCAACCUGCCUUUAGCAGGUAGAUAGCCCGGGGAAACCCGGAUUAAUACACCAUAAUAUUUAUUAGAAACCUUUCUGAUAAAUCAAAGCUACGACGGCUAAAGAUGGGCAUGCGUGCCAUUAGCUAGUUGGUAAGGUAACGGCUUACCAAGGCAACGAUGGCUAGGGGGUCUAAAAGGAUGAUCCCCCACACUGGUACUGGGACACGGACCAGACUCCUACGGGAGGCAGCAGUGAGGAAUAUUGGUCAAUGGGGGCAACCCUGAACCAGCCAUGCCGCGUGCAGGAAGACGGCCCUACGGGUUGUAAACUGCUUUUCUACGGGAAUAAAGGGGGCUACUCUUAGCUUUUUGAAGGUACCGUAGGGAUAAGCAUCGGCUAACUCCGUGCCAGCAGCCGCGGUAAUACGGAGGAUGCAAGCGUUAUCCGGAUUUAUUAGGUUUAAAGGGUGCGUAGGCGGGGCUGUAAGUCAGAGGUGAAAUCCUGCGGCUCAACCGUAGAAUAGCCUUUGAAACUACAGUUCUUGAGAUCAGACGAGGUAGGCGGAAUGUGUAAUGUAGCGGUGAAAUGCAUAGAUAUUACACAGAACACCGAUUGCGAAGGCAGCUUACCAGACUGCAUCUGACGCUGAUUCACGAAAGCGUAGGGAGCGAACAGGAUUAGAUACCCUGGUAGUCUACGCCGUAAACGAUGAUCACUAGCUGUUGGCGAUAUACAGUCAGCGGCUGCGCGAAAGCAUUAAGUGAUCCACCUGGGGAAUACGUUGGCAACAAUGAAACUCAAAGGAAUUGACGGGGGCCCGCACAAGCGGAGGAACAUGUGGUUUAAUUCGAUGAUACGCGAGGAACCUUACCUGGACUUAAAUGCAGUAUGAUUUUAGUGGAAACAUUAUUUCCCUUCACGGGGCGUAUUGCAAGGUGCUGCAUGGCUGUCGUCAGCUCGUGCCGUGAGGUGUCGGGUUAAGUCCCAUAACGAGCGCAACCCUUGUCAUUAGUUACCAUCACGUAAAGGUGGGGACUCUAAUGAGACUGCCGGUGUAAACCGUGAGGAAGGUGGGGAUGACGUCAAGUCAGCGCGGCCCUUACGUCCAGGGCUACACACGUGUUACAAUGGCCGGUACAAAGGGCAGCUACUAUGCGAAUAGGUGCUAAUCUCGAAAGCCGGUCUCAGUUCGGAUCGUAGUCUGCAACUCGACUACGUGAAGUUGGAUUCGCUAGUAAUCGCGCAUCAGCAACGGCGCGGUGAUACGUUCCCGGGCCUUGUACACACCGCCCGUCAAGCCAUGGAAGCCGGGGGUACCUGAAGUC
rnacentral:rRNA from 1 species